rnacentral:rRNA from 1 species
UACGGAGGGGGCCAGCGUUGUUCGGAAUCAUUGGGCGUAAAGGGCGCGUAGGUGGCCGCGCAAGUCAGAGGUGAAAUCCCUCGGCCCAACCGAGGAACUGCCUCUGAAACUGCGCGGCUCGAGUCCCGGAGAGGGCAGUGGAAUUCCCAGUGUAGCGGUGAAAUGCGUAGAUAUUGGGAGGAACACCGGUGGCGAAGGCGGCUGCCUGGACGGGUACUGACGCUGAUGCGCGAAAGCGUGGGGAGCAAACAGG